CACCCACCGCCCAUACCUUUUUAGAUCAUUCUGAUGUGUCUGCAGACACAAAGUCAGUGGGGAAAAUGUGUAAUUCGUGCUCUGACACAACAACUUAAUUUAUUUCCAAAAUAGUUCCUUUGAGUAGGCCUAACUGUUCUGUGACCUGGCUGUCACUUAUAAAACCUGUAUAAAUCCGGAUUCUCACUACAGUCAAAUGGAUACAUGGACAUAAUCAGUAAUAACUUAACUUAAAGGGUGACUGCACUUCCUAAUUUGGCCUCGUUUUACAUUUGGGCAGAGAGGAAGAGGCGAAGCUUGGCCGGAUUUACUCCGCCCAAGCGGUACCAGAGCACCAAGUCUGGGACCAAAAGGAUCCUGAACAGCUUCUACCCCCAAGCCAUUAGACUGCUGAGUAGUUAAUCAAAUGGCUACAGGGACAAUUUGCAUUGACCCACUUUUUUUGCGGACUCUCUUGCUGGCUCUACGGACCUGAGCCCUAGGAUCAUGCCUCAGGACUACCUGGCCUGAUGACUCCUGGCUGUCCCCAGUCCACCUGGUCGUGCUGCUGCUCCAGUUUCAACUGUUCUGCCUGCGGCUAGGGAACCCUGACCUGUUCACCGGAUGUGCUACCCUGUCCCGGACCUGCUGUUUCCGACUCUCUCUACCGCACCUGCUGUCUCGACCUCUGAAUGCUUGGCUAUGAAAAGCCAACUGACAUUUACUCCUGGGGUGCUGACCUGUUGCACCCUCUACAACCACUGUGAUUAUUAUUUGACCCUGCUGGUCAUCUAUGAACGUUUGAACAUCUUGGCCAUGUUCUGUUAUAAAUCUCUACCCGGCACAAACAGAAAAGGACUGGCCACCUCUCAGAGCCUGGUUCCUCUCUAGGUUUCUUCCUAAAUUCCUGCCUUUCAAAGACGUUUUUCCUAGCCACCAUGCUUCUACAUCUGCAUUGCAUGCUGUUUGUGGGUUUUAGGCUGGGUUUCUGUAUAGCACUUUGUGAUAUCUACUGAUGUAAAAAGGGCUAUUCAAAUACAUUAGAUUGCUUUAUAUCAGCAAUGAUUUUUUUAAAGGCAGUAAAUGAGGCUGAAUGAACUGUUUCGCUGCCAGAUAAGGCUCUGCUGAUAGCCAGAUGUUAUAGUGGUAAGGUUUCACUCCAAGGUGCUGAAAAGAAAGCUCUGCUUUUGGGACAGCUUUAUGUAUGCCCUAACAGUUUGUGGGUACCAUUUGUUACCGUUGUAGUGCAACUAAUGUAUUGUUUAGUGUUGUAGUUUUGCUGGAAUGCAUUAAAAAAAUGUUUUUUGCCCCACCAAGAUUUACAUGCUAAAGUCGCUACUGUGCAUGACUAUAUUAGAGACACAUAUUGCCCUCAGAUUACACAGACCCACAAAGAAUACGAAUUUAAAAAAAUCUAAUUUAGACUCCCAUAUCUCCCAUUUGACUCCCAAACCCCUUGGGUGAAAUACCAUAUUGAGCAUCACAGCAGCAAGAUAUGUAACCUGUUUCCACAAGAAAAGGGCAACCAGUGACGAACAAACACCAUUGUAAAUACAGUUGAAGUCGGAAGUUUACAUACACCUUAGCCAAAUAGAUUUAAACUCAGUUUUUCACAAUUCCUGACAUUUAAUCCCAGUAAAAAUUCCCUGUCUUGGGUCAGUUAGGAUCACCACUUUAUUUUAAGAAUGUGAAAUGUCAGAAUAAUAGUAGAGAGAUUUAUUAAUUUCGGCUUUUAUUUAUUUCGUCACAUUCCCAGUGGGUCAGAAGUUUACAUACACUCAAUUAGUAUUUGGUAAUAUUGCCUUUAAAUUGUUUAACUUGGGUUAAAUGUUUUGGACAGCCUUCCUCAAGCUUUCCACAAUAAGUUGGGUGAAUUUUGGCCCAUUCCUCAUGACAGAGCUGGUGUAACUGAGUCAGGUUUGUAAGCCUCCUUGAUCGCACACGCUUUUUCCGUUCUGCUCACAAAUCUUCUGUAGGAUUAAGGUCAGGGCUUUGUGAUGGCCACUCCAAUACCUUGACUUUGUUGUGGAAAAUGGCUUAAGGACAACUUUGGUUGUUGCUUCAAUAUAUCCACAUAAUUUUCCUACCUCAUGAUGCCAUCUAUUUUGUGAAGUGCACCAGUCCCUCCUGCAGCAAAGCACCCCCACAACAUGAUGCUGCCACCCCCGUGCUUCACGGUUGGGUUGGUGUUCUUCGGCUUGCAAGCCUCCCCCUUUUUCCUCCAAACAUAAUUAUGGUCAAACAGUAAGUACUAUUUUUGUUUCAUCAGACCAGAGGACAUUACUCCAAAAAGUUCCAUCUUUGUCCCCAUGUGGAGUUGCAAACCAUAGUCUGGCUUUUUUAUUGAGGUUUUGGAGCAGUGGCUUCGUCCUUGCUGAGCGGCCUUUCAGGUUAUAUUGAUAUAGGACUCGUUUUACUGUGGAUACAGAUACUUUUGUACCUGUUUCCUCCAGCAUCUUCACAAGGUCCUUUGCUGUUGUUCUGGGAUUGAUUUUCACUUUUUGACCCAAGUACGUUCAUCUCUAGGAGACAGAACGCGUCUCCUUCCUGAGCGGUAUGACGGCUGCGUGGUCCCAUGGUGUUUAUACUUGCGUAUUAUUGUUUGUACAUAUGAACUUGGUACCGUCGGGCAUUUGGAAAUUGCUCCCAAGGAUGUACCAGACUUGUGGAGGUCUACAAAUUCUUUUCCGAGGUCUUGGCUGAUUUAUUUUGAUUUUCCCAUGAUGUUAAGCAAAGAGGCACUGAGGUUGAAAGUAAGCCUUGAAAUACAUCCACAGGUACACCUCCAAUUGACUCAAAGGAUGUCAAUUCGCCUAUCAGAAGCUUCUAAAGCCAUGACAUCAUUUUCUGUUUAAAGGCACAGUCAACUUAGUGUAUGUAAACUUCUGAACCACUGGAAUUGUGAUACAGUGAAUUAUAAGUGAAAUAAUCUGUCUGUAAACAAUCAUUUGAAACAUUACUUGUGUCAUGCACAAAGUAGAUGUCCUAACUGACUUUCCAAAAUUAUCGUUUGUUAAGAAGAAAUUUGUGGAGUGGUUGACAAACGAGUUUUAAUGACUCCAACCUAAGUGUAUGUAGACUUCCGACUUCAACUGUACAACCCAUAUAUUUUUAUUUUUAUUUUCCUUUUGUACUUUAACUAUUUGCACAUUGUUACAACACUGUC
ensembl:lncRNA